rnacentral:lncRNA from 1 species
AAGCAGGAACAUGUUGAAUCAAUCGUUCACAAAGAUGAAUCCCAUACUUCAUUUGGAAAAAUGGAAAGUAAACAGUUUUUGCCAUUCAUCUCCCCUCCAUCAGAACCAUCUUCAUCAUAUAAUGCAAGGGAUAGUGACUCACCUCCCUCCUUAUCAACUGCAAAAUCUAUCUCCUCUCCAUCAGUAUCAUCUGCACCAUAUAGUGCAACACACAGUGACCUGCCUCCCUUCUCUUCAACGGCAAAACCUGUCGAGCCUCCAUCAGAAACAUUUGCAUCAUAUAGUGCAACAAGGCAUAGUGACUCACCUCCCACUUUAUCAACUGCAAAAUUUGUCUCCCCUCCAUCAGAAACAUUUGCAUCAUAUAGUUCAACAAGACAUAGUGACUCACCUCCCAUUUUGUCAACUGCAAAAUCUGAAGAUAAUUUGAACUUGCAGGAUGUUGUAGCUGCUGCACAUGCUGCUGCAGAAACGGCUGAACGUGCAGCAGCUGCAGCUCGUUCAGCAGCUAGUGUUGCUCAACUUCGUAUUAGCGAGCUUACCAAGAUGAGAAGUAAU